UUCAUAAACUUCAUCCAUUUCAUAACAAAACCAAGAAAAAAAUGAUUGAAGUUUUGAUUCAAUUUGAAUUAAAAUCUUUUCUUACAUUACAAGCAUGAGACAUAAGUUCAUGAGCAUACAUGUUUUACAUCAUAAGUUUUACACCGUAAGCCCUAGCCUAAACCACCUAGAAUUAUAUUGUGAAUUUGGAUCAAAGUGAGCCAAAAAACCAAAGGUUCUCAUGGCAGUCCCAUUUUUGCAUCCACAUUCAUCUCUUCAUGUUCCUUCCACAUCCAUCCUUCAUGUUCCUCGCAAUGCAUCCAAACCAUGGUAAUCAAUCCAUCCAUGAGCUGCAUCACCAGCAAACAUUUGUUCCAAUAUCACACUUCAACAAGCUCAACCUACAACAACAACAAAUCAAAUACACUCAAAACCUGCACAUAACUUGCCACAAUUCAUCAAACAAUAACAUCAUGAGCAACAUCAGUAAAUAUCAAAAACAACAAAAUUGCAUCAGCCUGCAAGACAACAACAUGCAUCAUGAGCAUCAUCCAAUCCUUUGCAUCUAAAUCAAGCAGCAACACAACCAUAGCACAACGUGUAAUUCAUACUUGCAGCAAAGCAUCAUUGACAUCAUUUCAUGCCCUAAUUCAAUUGCAGGCCCAUCAAACAAACACCCUGCAUCACAAUACAAACAAGUCCUGCAAUCAGUUAGUCAAAUCCUGCCCUACAACAAACACAAGCAGCUGCACAAUGCAACUCAAUCCAACCCCUUAAUUCAAACCUGCAACAGUCAAUAAAACCUAGCAUGCAUAAGUCAUAACAGCAGUAGCCCUACACAAUCCACUUCAAACAAUCCAAAGUAGUGCAUCCAAUCAACAACAAACUACAUCCAACAACAAUUCCAUAAUAGAGAAACAACAAAAUCAUGCAGAAGCUGCAAACACUCACCUUCAAUCUGUUGCAUCCUGCAACCAAAUACAUUAAUCCAAGCAGUCCUGCAUCAAAACAUCCAAGGCAAAUAAUAACAAUCCACAAUCAAAUAUCAUCAAUCCUGCAAACAUGACAACAUCCACAAACCACAUCAUCAAAACAAAUCAAAUGGCAAGUAAAACACAUUUCACCUAGUUAUUCUCUUACUGCAGUAAAAAACACACUUGGCAAGGAAGUAAAAAGGGAAAAGCACAACAAUCCAAACAAGUAAAAAAUAUCCACAAACAUUCAGUACACAGGGACAAUUACUUUUCAGAGCAGAAACACACAAUUGAGCAAGCAUUGUUCUGCAACAACAAGGCCAUUAUCCCUCCAUUCCCCUUUUUUUGGCCUCAUCAUAAAUCAAACCAAAAAAACUAUAAUUCUUUUCAUUAUAAAAGAGCACAUUCAUAACAAAAAGAGGUAAAAAACGAAUAUCAAAGGUUGAUAACUCUACAAUAUCAAAGCAAUUAGAAAAUACAGGCACAAACCCUAAACCUAAACAGUUGAACCACCAAAAAUUCAAAUCCUCAGUCUCGAGCUAGCCUAAAUCUCUUAACUCCCACUUACUUAUGAACUCAGAGGAAGAAUAAGAGAAAACCCAAAAAAGAAAAGAAGAGAACUAACCAGAACUCGCGCUAUUGUUGCCCCUACUCCGAUUGUCUUCUCCGGCGAGGUAGAAACCCAAAUUCCUCGGUUCAGCAUAUAUUGUAUACCAUUGUGUAGAGCAGACUUUAGGGACUCAAAUCCCUCCGGUUUGAGGCUUUGACUCCCUCUUAUUGUUUUUUUUAGUUUUAGGGUUCGUGAACACUUAUCCUUGAUUCAUCCGAUUGUUCAGAAUUUGGACUUUUUUAUUACGGUUUUCGUCUUCACGAGUUUGAAACGAAGGGUUUGAGUUUAUUUAUUUUAUGGUUUGAGCUCCGCCCCAACGAAGCGGGAACUUUGAUUUUUUUUG
rnacentral:lncRNA from 1 species